rnacentral:rRNA from 1 species
UACAGAGGUCCCGAGCGUUGUUCGGAUUCAUUGGGCGUAAAGGGUGCGUAGGCGGUCUGCUAAGUUUGGUGUGAAAUCCCGGGGCUCAACCCUGGAAUUGCAUUGAAUACUGGUGGACUAGAGUACUGGAGAGGAAACUGGAAUUUACGGUGUAGCAGUGAAAUGCGUAGAGAUCGUGAAGGAAGACCAGCAGGCGGAAAGGCGACGUUUCCUGG